GAAAGGCGCUUUCGGGUGUCGCUGAUGGAUGGACCCGCGGUGCAUUAGCUAGUUGGUGAGGUAACGGCUCACCAAGGCGACGAUGCAUAGCCGACCUGAGAGGGUGAUCGGCCACAUUGGGACUGAGACGCGGCCCAAACUCCUACGGGAGGCAGCAGUAGGGAAUCUUCGGCAAUGGACGAAAGUCUGACCGAGCAACGCCGCGUGAGUGAAGAAGGUUUUCGGAUCGUAAAACUCUGUUGUUAGAGAAGAACAAGGAUGAGAGUAACUGUUCAUCCCUUGACGGUAUCUAACCAGAAAGCCACGGCUAACUACGUGCCAGCAGCCGCGGUAAUACGUAGGUGGCAAGCGUUGUCCGGAUUUAUUGGGCGUAAAGCGAGCGCAGGCGGUUUCUUAAGUCUGAUGUGAAAGCCCCCGGCUCAACCGGGGAGGGUCAUUGGAAACUGGGAGACUUGAGUGCAGAAGAGGAGAGUGGAAUUCCAUGUGUAGCGGUGAAAUGCGUAGAUAUAUGGAGGAACACCAGUGGCGAAGGCGGCUCUCUGGUCUGUAACUGACGCUGAGGCUCGAAAGCGUGGGGAGCAAACAGGAUUAGAUACCCUGGUAGUCCACGCCGU
rnacentral:rRNA from 1 species